rnacentral:antisense_RNA from 1 species
CUUCACCGAACCCAGCCACAACGGCCGCUCACGAUCCUGCCCGUACGUCGCCAGAAUCGCCUGCGCCUC